rnacentral:rRNA from 1 species
GACGAACGCUGGCGGCGUGCUUAACACAUGCAAGUCGAGCGGUAAGGCCCUUUCGGGGGUACACGAGCGGCGAACGGGUGAGUAACACGUGGGUGACCUGCCCUCAGCUCUGGGAUAAGCCUGGGAAACUGGGUCUAAUACUGGAUAUGACUCCACGGUGCAUGUCGUGGGGUGGAAAGCCUUGUGCGGCUGAGGAUGGGGCCCGCGGCCUAUCAGCUUGUUGGUGGGGUGAUGGCCUACCAAGGCGACGACGGGUAGCCGGCCUGAGAGGGCGACCGGCCACACUGGGACUGAGACACGGCCCAGACUCCUACGGGAGGCAGCAGUGGGGAAUCUUGCGCAAUGGGCGAAAGCCUGACGCAGCGACGCCGCGUGAGGGAUGAC